UCUUAUGGAUGAGCAGAUAAAGUAGUUUUUUGAGAAGAAAUCUACUCUUCUUGAAGAUGCUGUGAA
rnacentral:pre_miRNA from 1 species